GUCUGAUAGUGUGGCUCGUCCUCUUUUCUCUCCAUGCUACCCACUGGGUGCUGCUCUCCGGGUUUGCUUCUCUUGAACGAUGGGGACCCCUGCCCAGGACCCUCUCCCAUGUCCUGGUUUCCCGUUUCUAGGACAGGUCAUGCCACGGCCAUGUUUUCCACUGCUAGUACCUGCUUCCCUGAUCAUCAGCACCUUCGCCACAGCCCUCCUCAGUUCUCUGUCCCUGGCAGCCUCCCUGAAGCCACGGCCUCCGGGCAUUUACACAACAAUUUUAUGAACAAACAGGUUAGCAGAGCACAUCGUUGCAUUCCUGAACGAGAGCUGAAGUUAGCAUCUUCCUCUGAGACCCCAAGUGGUGUCUCUCUAAUGACAAGGGAAUAUUCUUGCACAUGUGCAGAUGUCGGGCAGUGGGCGGCAAGAGAAGGGACAGAGCUGCUUACAUCUGUUUCUUUUGUAACCAAGAGCGAAACUGUGGUGCUCAGGCAGCCCAGCAGGGCCAAUCGGCACAAUGCCCAAACACACCGACAACUUUUGCCUUGGCCUCCUCUUGGCUCUCCCUGCAGCAAACCUGUGAACACAGGGCCAGAGCCAGGCUCUGGAUGGAAGGACUCAAAGGUGUCCUGCCUUUCUGUUGCUUCCAUCUGCACCAUCACUGGAAAAAUCCUUCUACGUCCAUGCCUGUCCUUCGACGUAUACAAGCAGGUUUUGAUUUCACACGUGGAGUUUUCUAGUGGAACAUUACGUUGAGUUACAUGUCAUCAGUCAUACACCACCAAGCCACCCUCCGGUAACUCACUGGGACAUGGAGCAAGUGUCCUUGGCUGCAACAGUUACAGAGCAUGGGGUGGACCCCAGGACGUCACUGCCACCUUCUGUGGACACCUCUGCUGACCUUCCCUACCCUUGUUCAUCCAUGCUCCCCUGCCUUCCUUCCAACACCUGUUUUUUUCUCCCUUGAGAAGGAGGAAGGCAGGUGGGGGUCUUGCGGCAGAUCUUGGCCCCAGCCUUGCUUCGUCUCUUUACAGUGGAUCUUCAAG
rnacentral:lncRNA from 1 species